CCUGGUGGCUAAGACGGUAAAGCGUCUGCCUACAAUGCAGGAGACCCAGGUUCAAUUCCUGGGUCAGGA
rnacentral:tRNA from 1 species